ensembl:lncRNA
CCCACGUUCAGAUCCGUAAAGGCCAGCACCCUGGCAGCACCCCGGCAGCGACAGCAACCAAUAUGGCCGCCGACGGCAAUUUUCUGCCCGCUGAUGUUUUGGAUGACGGUCACGUUGGAAGCACACAGCGGUAAAGAGGGAGAAGAUACUGGCAGAAGGGUCUAAAGCCAAAAGGUUCCAGUUAUCUGAAUCAACUUCAGGGAGAGGAAGCGCGAACGGGAAGAAGAAUUUUAUGUAUUUGAGUAAUAGUGUGCAAAGUCGUGAGAAAGACCGGCACCGCGGCUGUCUGCUGGAGCUCAGGUUACGGCCGACCGGCGGCACAGACUUUAUGGAAGCCUCUCUCCCACAGCAACACUCCCCCCUCCGCACGGCUCCGGAGGAGGUAUCGGGUUCCCGGAUCAGCGCCGGCCAGGCUUGGCGCUGGCGGCAGCUUGUGAUCUUGGGGGCCUGUGUGUGUGUGUGUGUGUGUGUGUGUGUGUGUGUGUGUGUGUGUGGAGCGGCGUGUGUGUUUUAUCUCCCACUCUUUGAGGGUAUCAGCACACAACACCGCUGUCUCCUGUAGGUAUGUAGGUGUGAUUUACGGAGAUGCUUCCCUCACGCACAUACGCAAAAUCCAACCUCUGCUCAGAAGCAGCUAGAAUGUUCUAUACCGUGUUACACAGUCUCAGGCUCAAUAAGCAGAGAUGGAGAGUUUAAAACCUAAAUGACAAAAAACAAGCACCAACAGUCCCCCAAACUAUUUUCUACUCCCUACUUUGGUGGAUCAUCGGGGACAUUGAACGUAAAUGUAUUAUCUGCAUUGCUAGGAUUAUUUUUUUUAAUCUUCCGUGCAGUGGAGACACAAGUUCACAUCACAAUAUGUAAGAGAUAAAUAUGCUUUCCUUUGUUUCAUUUUGGGGAACCAACCCUUUAAAAAACACCCCUCCACCGAGGUAGUAUACUUCCACAAAGCUCAUCAUCCAAAUAAAAAAAGAACGAUGGGCCAGAUGUCCAGAACACCAAAUACUGGAUGCUACACACUUUCUUAGAUUGACCAAGCUCCCCUAGGGGCCCCAGAAAACAUUUUACAACUACUAGACAGACUAACAUAAUGAUGAUGUGUCCC